UGGGGAAUAUUGGACAAUGGGCGAAAGCCUGAUCCAGCAAUGCCGCGUGAGUGAAGAAGGCCUUCGGGUUGUAAAGCUCUUUUGUCAGGGAAGAAACGGUAGUAGCGAAUAACUACUACUAAUGACGGUACCUGAAGAAUAAGCACCGGCUAACUACGUGCCAGCAGCCGCGGUAAUACGUAGGGUGCAAGCGUUAAUCGGAAUUACUGGGCGUAAAGCGUGCGCAGGCGGUUGUGUAAGUCAGAUGUGAAAUCCCCGGGCUCAACCUGGGAAUUGCAUUUGAGACUGCACGGCUAGAGUGUGUCAGAGGGGGGUAGAAUUCCACGUGUAGCAGUGAAAUGCGUAGAUAUGUGGAGGAACACCGAUGGCGAAGGCAGCCCCCUGGGUCAAGAUUGACGCUCAUGCACGAAAGCGUGGGGAGCAAACAGGAUUAGAUACCCGGGUAGUCCCUGAGCGGGCUGGCAAGGCGCAU
rnacentral:rRNA from 1 species